rnacentral:misc_RNA from 1 species
AACGCACCUUGCGCCCAUUGGUAUUCCGAUGGGCAUGCCUGUUUGAGUGUCUUGAAAUCAUCAAGCCCGUUCGGUUUCACCGCCGAGCGGGAUUGGACCUGGGGGCUUGCCGCUUCGCCGCGGCUCCCCUUAAAUGCAUCGGUUUCGGGUCUCUGUGGGAGUAACCCCUUGGGCGUUGUAUAACCCUCGCCGUCUGGGAACUCCUCGCGACGUCCGCGUCGUCGAAGGGCCUUGAAGGAACCUCGACCUGCUGUAGAGCGGCGGUCAACGUUAAUUUGAAAUCUGACCUCAAAUCAGGUAGGACUACCCGCUGAACUUAA